UGGUCUCGAAGCCAUACGUGGUUGUC
rnacentral:piRNA from 1 species